AACAUCGCCCUUUGAAAACAUAAUUAUAAAGGGUACUGCCUGCCCAGUGAUAAAAAUUAAACGGCCGCGGUACUUUGACCGUGCAAAGGUAGCAUAAUCAUUUGUUCUUUAAUUGAGGACCAGUAUGAAAGGCAAAACGAAAGCUAAACUGUCUCCUUUUUAAAAAAAGAAAUUAGUAUUUUUGUGAAGAAACAAAAAUGAUAAAGUAAGACGAGAAGACCCUGUCGAGCUUAAGAAAAUUUUUAUAAUAAAUUUUAAAAAGAUAACAAAAUUAUACUACAAAAAUAAAAUAAAAAUAUCUUUGGUUGGGGCAACCACGAAGAAAAAAAAACCUUUGUUUAAAAAAAGAAAUUUACAAAUUUAAAAAUUACCAAAAAUUUAAAAGAUCCAGAAAAUUCUGAUCAAAGAAAAAAGUUACCGCAGGGAUAACAGCGUUAUUCUCUUUAAGAGCUCUUAUUGACAAGAGAGUUUGCGACCUCGAUGUUGGACCGGGGCACCCAAGAGGUGUAGCAGCCUCUAAAGGUAGGUCUGUUCGACCUUUAAAGCCCUACGUGAU
rnacentral:rRNA from 1 species